GUUAAGUUGGCAACACCGUACACAUAGGUCGUGUUGUUUUGUGCUUUCUGUUGUUUGAUAAUCAUUCAUUCGUGAGCUAUUUAAUAAGUUUGUGGGGCUAUAAUGCUGAAAUAUUAUGUAGCUUAUGGUUGUAAAGAACCGCAGAGCAAUGGCAGUGGAGUACAGUUUCAUAGGUUUCCAUUGUCUCGUCCGCAAAUUCUGAAAUUAUGGAUGCAAGCAAUUCGUAGAGGCAAGUGGUCACCUUCUGCAUACAGCACGAUAUGCAGCAGACACUUUACCGAAAAUUGGUAACAAGUGAGGCCAGGAGCAUCAUUAAGGCUGUUAAAAGAAGAUUCCGUCCCAUCUGUCUUUGAUUUUCCGGAAAAUAUGCAGAAAAAGAUGACUGCAAGGCGACAGUUGGUUCAUAAAGAACCUGCUAGUACUCAAGAUGUACAUCAUGCAAGUGUACAACUAGAAAAGUCUCCUGAAGCAGUUUGCUGAAAAUAAAGGAAUUCAGGAAAUCCUCCAUUCACCAACAAAAACAAAUUUAAGAAAGAAGAUAAGAAGAUUGCAAAUGGCUGUAGGCCAACAAAACAAAAAGAUUUCGACAAUGGCACAGCUUAUCAAUGAACUUACAAAAAGGACACCUGAACAGUGACGUAGAGAAUCAUUAAUAAUUUAAUUUUAGUCGUUUUCCUUUGCACUUCAUCGUCAACGAACUGAAAAACUCUGUGUGUGACAAACAAGCUAGAAGAUACUCAGAUAUUAUAAAACAGUUCUCUCUGACAGAUUUUUAUUCACCUAAAGCGUAUAGAUAUGUUAGAUCAUUUUUUACUUUGCCCAAUCCAAGCUGCAUUAGAUCGUGAAUCUCAUCUGUCAACUGUGUUUCAUCAGUGAAAUGUUCAGUUUCUUAAAAGAAAAUGUAGAGAAAAAAACCCUGGUUAAGAGAAUGUGCUUUAAUUUUUGACAGUAUGAAGAUUCACAAACAAUUGUUAUGGGACAAUAGUAGAAAAGUUAACAGUGGUGUCGUAAAUAUUGGUGGCAUUAAGCCAGUAGAUUCGAAUGAACUAGCUAGAGAAGCAUUAGUAUUCCAAAUUGUUUUCUAUGGGAAAAAAUUUAAAUGUCCAGUUGCAUAGUUUUUGUAAGUAGUAGUGAAGCUGAACUUUUAGCUGAAUUAAUCCGUACAUCCCUCCUAAAAUUACAUGAAGUUGGUGUAGUUGUAUGGUCCAUUACUUGUGACGAACGAGUUGUAAACCUACAAGAUUUGAAAAACGUGGGUUGCAACUAUGAAGACGAUAAUAUUAUUUAGUAUUUUAAACACCCUUCAGCUGAAUGCAAUGUUUAUGUAGUUUUUGACCCUUGUCACAUGCUUAAAUUAACAAGAAAUACUUUGGCUGACAAACAGAUUUUGCAGACAGUUGAUGACGAAGUACAGUGGAGCUACAUAGUUAAUUUAAAUGAACUACAGGAGAGUGAAGGAUUGAAGUUUGCUAAUUCAGUCACCAACCAUCAUGUUAAGUUCCACAAUAAGAAGAUGAACUUCUCUCUUGCUGCUCAAACCCUGAGUUCAAGAGUAGCAGAUGCUAUUGAAUUUCUUGAGUCACAUCAACAUACAGGUUUUCAAGGAUCAGCUGCAACUAUUUCUUUUAUUAGAAAAGUAACUUUUUGAUUUGUUAAAUAGUAGAUAUGUUUUUACUAAAGGCUUCAAACAACCAUUAAAUAUGUUCAACAUAAAUUUCUGCCAUAAUUGUUAUGAAGAGAUGGAAUAUUUUUUGACAAAUAUAUCCAUUGAAGGUUUACCCAUUCUAUGGAAUUCUCAUAACACAUUUGCUCUGGGUUUCUUGCUGUCGAUUAAAAGUGUAUAGAUGCUGCUACAGAAUUUCUUUUCCGUGACACAGACCCAUUUCAGUAUUUUUUAACGUGUAAAGUGUCUCAAGAUCAACUGGAAUUAUUAUUUUCAUGUAUUAGAGGUAAAGGAGGCUGGAACAAUAAUCCAAAUACUAUUCAGUGCCAGUCAGUUCUCAAUGCCCUAGUAUUAAAAAUAGCAUAAGCUCUGGAUGUAAGACAAAGUACUUCAUUUUAAAUAAAACAAUGUGUUUUCACUUGCUCACUUUAGGUACCACCAUGUUCAAACAGAAAAUAUUAAUAUAAAUGAUGCUUGACAGUGUUUAGAUUAUUAUAGUAGACUGCAUGACGUAAAUCUAAGUAAUUAUGUUAAUAAUAUUUCAUAUUUCAUAUCAGGAUUUGUAGUUAAAAAAAUGUUAAAAGGUUUGAAGUGUUGUGCGUGGCUAGUUUGUUAAUUUUUGAUAAUGGCAAAGUAAGUGACCACAUAUAUUGUAAGACGCCUUUGUCUGAUCCAAAUGCUUAUACUCAGCACGUUUCUAGGGGAGGACUUAAGUUUGCUUCUGAAGCACUUUACAAAAUUGUCAGGAAGGUAGCAAAUUACGUAUUUAGCUUUCUGUGUGUGGUUUUAUAGUUAAUGUUUAAGUUAAUAGUACUGGGAUGCAUAGGAUGUGUGUUUGCUCAAUGCCGACACAACAGGGACUGGCCACUGUUCAUGAACAGCUGAAGACACUUUUGGGAACAGUCAGUCAGCCAUUUUCAGACUGCUGCUUCGUGGUGUAGUGGUCUUGUAGAAUCUGGCGCAUCACAUGGGACGCCACAGGUGACGCUUAUUUCGCCCAUGGGCCCUGCUGCCAAGGCACAUUGUAGUGUACCUGACACAGUGGAUCUGCCCUCUCCUCAGGGUGAGUGGCUGGCGGUAAUGCAUUCACACCGCUUGAGGUGAAGAGUCGAUGUGGAGGAUGUCUGUUUGGCCUUGUCUAUUCACCAUGUGAGUGGACAGGUGGCCAUUCCUUCAGCAGGAUCUGAGCAGGCUCACACAGCAAGGAGUUUGGUAGUUGUUGUUAUCAUCUCCAAUGAGGGGCACGUUAUGGAGUUCCUUAGGGAAAUAGCAUCCAAUGCCAGAAAGAAAGCCAAUGUCCAUUCAGUACGUCUGGACAAGGCCUUGUCCGAGAUGUGCAGGAGGCAAUACCUGGAGCUAUUGGGAGUGCACGGUGCAUUUUUCUGCAAGUUAUAAUGACAUUUGUCGUUUGAGUUCUGAAGCCAUCCUCACCUCAUACAGACGAAUGGCAAAACUGGUGAAGACUGCUAGCCUCACACAGGGUGCAAGCUGAACUCACAAUUUGUGGCAUUGUUUCAGAAUUCAUCAGGAUCCUUUGGUUUGGAGCUGAGUGGAAGGUGUCAACCAAAGGCUCUGUCGAUUCUGUAAUGGUAGUGGAUGCAGAUUUCUGGCCCUGUGUUGGAGAGUGGAGAAUUGUAGUACACCCAUGAAAGGUCCAGCGUGUACUACGCAAAGGAAGCAACUGUUAUGAUAGCAGAAUACUUGGGGAGUGCACAAGUUGAUUUUUAUACUAGACAGUAGUUUGAGGACAUCUGAUGUCCAGUCACCUGUCGAUAUGCAGAGACUGAAAUCAAAUGGUGUACAAAGUAAAGACACUGCGACUGUCAAAAUUUUAACAAUAAAUUGUGAAAGUGUUCAUAAUAAAGUUUCUGCUCUUACCACCUUUCAUAAAAGUUGUCAUUCUCAAACUACAGUACUUAUCGAUGAAGAUAUUAAAUCUCUGUUGCAAAUAUGUCUCCUGGCACUUGUUUUUUCAUUGGAUUUUGUUAAGUAACAUUGUUUUCUCUGGACAUUCAGUAGAUAAUGUUGGCUGCCCUCGUGAUUGACAUAUUUUACUAUAACAUUGGUUGGACUAUAGACUCAGGGCUUGUUAUUUGCAACCACUAAGCUACGGAAAAUGGUUAUUAAUUUUUGAGUUGUUGUUGUUGUCUU